CAAGGUCUGGAAACUGCGUGAGGCUUUUCCGGGAGCUGAAAGCUGUCCUCGGUGAUCCGCCAGGGAGUGCUCGCCGUGCAUGAAGAGUUACCACCUUCCUCCAGCCCCGGACGAAACUUUUAAAAUCAAGAGAUUUAUACAGGUCGGGAAACUGAGAUUCGGUUGCAGAGAUUCACAAAGAGCCCCAACAGAGGAAAGGAGCUAA
rnacentral:lncRNA from 1 species